CUUUUUGAAGUUUUUAUAGUGUUAAAUUAUAAAAACAGAGAUAUCUAUGAUAUUAAGAAUCAGUUAGUUUUCCUUUUCUAUAACGUCCAAUGAAUUUCUCAUUAACAGAAUACCAACUUGAAAGUUAAUGUGAAACUAAAGGAUAUGUUAGAACAGGAUUGAAUCACUUAGCAACCAAUAAACAAACCUCAAGAAUAACAUCCUCAAAAACAUAGAUAUCUCAAAAUUUUAUAUAAUCAAAUCGUAAUUUAAACGUAUCAGUACAGACAGUUCUUUGAAAAAACGCUUUGGUUCACAUGAAAAAAUAAGUUCAUCCUUUGAUUAUUUGCAAUUAAAGCCUCAUCAGUGCAAAAUGGACAGUGAAUACCCAGGAGCUCACGGAUUUGUUAUGUUUUUGAUAAAUUGUCAACUUAUGGUUCAAAACAACAAUGAGAUAAUAACUCUAACCAUAGAAGCAAUGAGAAACAACGAAUCCCUUCUUAAUGAUUUUUCAAAAUUAAUUUUCCAUAACCUCACAGUUGAAGAAGAAGAAGAAAUUGAAUAUUUAAUGUACAUGCUUGACCGUUUGAUCAGAUAUAAUUGUUUGACAUAUAAUGGCGAACUAUUACGUUUAUCCGAAAAAUACCUAAGAAAAAUCCUUUACGAGUUCAACGCUGCCUUAAACCUUUGAAAACGAGUCCUACAUGAAGUGACAUUACCCCAUUUUUAAAAAAAUAAACUUCUCCAAAAAAUCCAAAUUCAAAUUACAAGUAUACCCCAAUCUUUAAAAAGUCUUGCUAAUCUUCAUCUUCCUUAAUAUAAACAGUCACUGAAAGAAAAACAAUUUCGUGUUUAAGGUCCCAAGACUUUGACCAUUAUCAAAACUUUUAAUGCAUGUUAUUGUGAAGCUUUAAACAAGAAACAUGCUAAUCUUUUUGACAACAAGUCAUAAACGUUUCUUAAAUUUAUUAAGGAACUGAAAGGCUGCAUGAGCCUCUUUAAAAAUCAAGAACAAACAAACAAGAGGGGUGUUCUAAGUACCAGGUGAUUCAAAGCAAGGACCACAGUGUUGCGGGUUUACCUAUCGUCGACUCAUCGGGGAUACAAGUUAGAGAUUUGCAUUUUGAUAAAAUAAAAAAAGAGUUUUGAAAAUGCCUGGAAGACUCAAAAUAAAAGUUAACUGGAAAACUUUUUGAAUUCUUCAAUAACUUUUCUCAUAUUCAAUGCUGAAAAUAAACUCCCCACUUUGUCAAAAAGUUUAUACAAGAGGCUGUUCCAACUUAAAGUUACCUUUAACAGAAGUUAUCUUAUUGAAAUCAUCACAAAUUUUAGCCAUUAAUAAGUGUAUCAGAAAAUUGCGAUAUGUUUUGUAUUGGUUAUGAUGAUAUACAACGACUAAAAAUCUUGGCUACUAGAUUAAGGUCACUUAUUACGCAUGCAAACCCAUAGUUCAACAAGAAGUACAUGUAGCGCUCACUGACACAACCAAGAACAUACUGAAGAUAACAAAAGAUAUUUUGUUAUAUACAUAUAACAUAAGGACAAAAUCUAUUAUUUUCUUUUGUUGUUUACAUUUGUGCCAUGGUAAACUUAACCUGAAAUACUUUAAAGCAUAUUAAAGGGCCAUCUACAAUCAGGUAAAGUAAGACAGUAAAAAUGGAGUAAAAAAGGAUUUCUGUGGAGUAAAGCAUGGAGUAGUAUUGGACCAAAUCCAACCCCACUCUAUACUGGACAUCUAUCUUGAACUGGAGCCUUCAUCUUUUUCAACAUUUUUCACAACACUACAUUUGAAAAAUUACGACGUUUACCUCUGGCAACAUUGCCCAAUCCACCUCACUUAUAAAAAAGACAUAUUGCUUUUGAAUGUGAAAAGAACGGUUCAGUUAUUAAGAAAUUUAAAUUUUUCAUAAAUUACAAUAAACCUGCCAAAUACCGGGUGAAAAUCGAAAGCGUACAGGUAACGUUUCCAUACUGCUGUAUGUUUAUCAAAACUAUAUGUGUGCUCCUACAGUGUCUUCACUUCACGUUGUCUUCCCUUACUUUUAAAGAUAAAAAGUGCAUAUAAAAUGAAGACAAAGUGAAAGCAGGUUUCAUAAAAGCUCCCUUUACUUAGGUUUCGUUUGAGCUUAACUUAAUAUUCAG